rnacentral:rRNA from 1 species
GACGAACGCUGGCGGCGUGGAUUAGGCAUGCAAGUCGGACGGUAGGGCUUUAUCGUAAGAUAGAGUUUGAGAGUGGCGAACGGGUGAGUAACACGUAGGAAUCUACCCUUAAGACGGGGACAACCCAGGGAAACUUGGGCUAAUACCGGAUGAGAGUGCGAGAGAUUGCAUUUAAAAGGAUGGCGAAAGUUGUCGCUUAGGGAUGAGCCUGCGGUCUAUUAGUUAGUUGGUGAGGUAAGAGCUCACCAAGGCGAUGAUAGAUAGGCGGCCUUAACGGGUGGUCGCCCACACUGGGAUUGAGAUACGGCCCAGACUCCUACGGGAGGCAGCAGUGAGGAAUAUUGCGCAAUGGGGGAAACCCUGACGCAGCGACGCCGUGUGAGCGAUGAAGGCCUUCGGGUCGUAAAGCUCUGUCAGAGGGAAAGAAAGGGUCGGCGGAAUAAUACCCGCCGACAUUGACGGUACCCUCGGAGGAAGCACCGGCUAACUCCGUGCCCAGCCAGCCGCGGUAAUAGUGU